ACUCAAAGGAAUUGACGGGGGCCCGCACAAGCGGUGGAGCAUGUGGUUUAAUACGUCACAAACCGUAGAACCUUACCAAGGCUUGACAUCCUCUGCACCGGCGUGAAAGCGUCGUCCCCGCAAGGGGCAGAGAGACAGGUGUUGCAUGGCUGUCGUCAGCUCGUGUCGUGAGAUGUUGGGUUAAGUCCCGCAACGAGCGCAACCCUCAUCCCCUGUUGCCAGCGGGUUAUGCCGGGAACUCUGGGGAAACUGCCGGUGCAAGCCGGAGGAAGGUGAGGACGACGUCAAGUCAGCAUGGCCCUUACGCCUUGGGCUACACACAUGCUACAAUGGACGGUAAACAGACCGACCCGAAGCCGUGAGGUGGAGGAAAUCGGAGAAAUCCGUUCUCAGUUCGGAUUGCAGGCUGCAACUCGCCUGCAUGAAGCCGGAAUCGCUAGUAAACGCAGGUCAGCGAAACUGCGUUGAAUUCGUUCCCGGGCCUUGUACACACCGCCCGU
rnacentral:rRNA from 1 species